rnacentral:rRNA from 1 species
AUGGACAACGACAUGGGAAUCGAUCUCUGGGGCGAUGUCCACAGGACUGACCGCGACAUCGGAAUCAAUCUUUGGGGCGAUGUCCACAGGAUGGACAGCGGCAUCGGAAUCGAUCUUUGGGGCGAUGCCAACAGGACGGACCGCGACAUCGAAAACGAUCUCUGGGGCGUUGCCCACAGGACGGGCCGCGGCAUCGGAAUCAUCAAGGACAUCCACUGGCACCUGCACAACCCUAACAUAUUAGCAAGCACAUCUAUCUAUCUAUCUAUCUAUCUAUCUAUAUCUAUCUAUCUAUCUAUCUAUCUAUAUCUCUAUCUAUCUAUCUAUCUAUCUAUACCUACCUAUACUAAUUACAGACUUCCUAUAAAUUCCUACAUUAAUCAGUAA